UCCGCCCCUCACCCAGGUCCCACCUCUCCAAGGCUCCAUUCCUCUCCCAGGUCGCACCUCUCCAAGGCCCUGCCUACCUCUCCAAGGUCCCACCCACCUAUGAAUAGGCCACAUUCCUGUCCUGGGACCACCUGUCCAAGGCUCUGCCCCUCACCCAAGUCUGACCUCUCCAAGCCCCAUCCACCUAUGCACAGGCCACACCCUCAUCCUAGGACCGUUUCUCCACAAGACCCACU
rnacentral:lncRNA from 1 species